rnacentral:sRNA from 1 species
CCUGCUGCUGAGCCACGCCGGCAUCCUCAAGGUGAGCCCCCCUCCGAGUGGCCCACCCCAGGGUGACCUGCGCGGGCCCACCCACAGCCGCCCAUCUGUCAUUGCAGGUGGGUGACUUCGGGCUGGCACGGGAGUACGGAUCCCCUCUGAAGGCCUACACCCCGGUCGUGGUGACCCUGUGGUACCGUGCCCCAGAGCUGCUGCUUGGUGCCAAGGAAUACUCCACAGCUGUGGACAUGUGGUCAGUGGGCUGCAUCUUCGGGGAGCUGCUGACUCAGAAGCCUCUGUUCCCCGGGAAGUCGGAAAUCGAUCAGAUCAACAAAGUGUUUAAGGUGGGUCUGGGCUCUGCCGCAGGUGCGCUGUGGAUUUCAGAGGAGCUGCAGGAAUGGGGCUGCGGGGCGCACAGGUGCUGGAUUGAGAUGUGGACCAGGGCCACUAAGAGCCCUCCUGGUGGCUUCUCUGCCAGGACACAGGUGCCAACACCGUGGGCCACUUGGCAUGGCUGUUGAAGCACCUCUGUCUUUCAGGAUCUGGGGACCCCCAGUGAGAAAAUUUGGCCUGGCUACAGUGAGCUCCCAGCAGUGAAGAAGAUGACCUUCAGCGAGCACCCCUACAACAACCUCCGCAAGCGCUUCGGGGCUCUGCUGUCAGACCAGGGCUUCGACCUCAUGAACAAGUUCCUGACCUACUUCCCCGGGAGGAGGAUCAGCGCGGAGGACGGCCUCAAGCACGAGUAUUUCCGCGAGACCCCCCUGCCCAUCGACCCCUCCAUGUUCCCCACGUGGCCCGCCAAGAGUGAGCAGCAGCGUGUGAAGCGGGGCACCAGCCCAAGGCCCCCUGAGGGAGGCCUGGGCUACAGCCAGCUGGUGAGGGGCCUGGCGGGUGAGGCGUGCCCACAGGUGGGGCUGGCUUGGGCAGGGUCCUCACGGUAGCCGACUCGUCCCAGGGCGACGACGACCUGAAGGAGACGGGCUUCCACCUUACCACCACGAACCAGGGGGCCUCCGCUGCGGGCCCCGGCUUCAGCCUCAAGUUCUGAAGGUCGGAGUGGACCCGUCAUGGGGCGAACUCAGCCGGGACCGCAGGCGCGGCUACUGCGGCUGGAGCUGCGAUGAGACUCGGAACUCCUCGUCUUACUUUGUGCUCCAUGUUCUGUUUUUGUAUUUUGGUUUGUAAAUU